UACGUAGGGUGCGAGCGUUGUCCGGAAUUAUUGGGCGUAAAGAGCUCGUAGGCGGUCUGUCGCGUCGAUCGUGAAAACUUGGGGCUUAACCCUGAGCUUGCGGUCGAUACGGGCAUGACUGGAGUUCGGCAGGGGAGACUGGAAUUCCUGGUGUAGCGGUGAAAUGCGUAGAUAUCGAGAGGAACACCUGCGGCGAAGGCAGCUCGCUGGGACGUGACUGACGCUGAGACGCGAAAGCGUGGGGAGC
rnacentral:rRNA from 1 species